rnacentral:rRNA from 1 species
UACGUAGGGACCAAGCGUUGUUCGGAUUUACUGGGAGUAAAGGGCGCGUAGGCGGCGUGUUAAGUCACUUGUGAAAUCUCUGAGCUUAACUCAGAACGGUCAAGUGAUACUGAUGUGCUAGAGUGCAGAAGGGGCAACCGGAAUUCUUGGUGUAGCGGUGAAAUGCGUAGAUAUCAAGAGGAACACCUGAGGUGAAGACGGGUUGCUGGGCUGACACUGACGCUGAGGCGCGAAAGCUAGGGUAGCAAACGGG